UUCUAUGAUUCUAUGAUUCUAUGAUAUGUACAGCCUACAAGGCAUGCAGCACACACACCUAGAUCUGGAAAUGCUUUUUCCACUCUGUGCAGCUAUCUGCUUUAAACUUUAUAGGGAAAAUUCGUCCAUUGAUUAAAGCAACAUAAAAUCAUGAAAUGGAUGAUGGUGGAAGGGUUUUAAGGAAAUCAUCCAUUUCAACUACUGUCCUUAAAGCUGAGUCACUUACAGUAGGGCACCCAGCUAAAUGAAGAAAAAUAAUACACACAUUUUCAAGGCCCUGUGGAGUUAUCGAAAAUUUCUAUUGAACCAAUGGUUACCACACAGAGUCAUUAAAAUGCUUCAAUUUCUCCUGGCCUCCCAAUGUUGCUCCACUUCUAGGAGCCAAGUCAGUUUUGUGAUUCCUAUAAACAAUGGAGAGCAAUUUCUCAAGUUGUUAGAGCUGCCAGGGGAGCAAGGGCAUGUCUGGGAAACCCACAGAGCUGAGGAACAAGCUGAAAGCAUGAAAAACACUACUGGAGUAGGAACAACCUUAUAAGGCAAAAGGUGUUAACUUGAUCAUUGUAUCCCAAAAAAGCAUGACACUUCAGCUUAAGAAAAGCUAAAGCCUCAACACCGCUGAUAAAGUCUAUCCUGAUAAAGUCUACCUUAAAAUGCUUGAAAUAAGGUAAAGUGUCAUAGAACCAUGACAGGUCUUGUGAAUCUGUAUGCAAGACCAAUGGCACACACAAGCAUUUUGAAAGUGAAAAAAAAAAAGAAAUUUGUAUCUGGAGAAUCACAUUCAUCUUUUGGAACUGUGUCAUCUGUUGAAGCAUUUAUAUUUCUACUGAAUGUCUGAAGGAAAAAGUAAAGAUUCAGCAG
rnacentral:lncRNA from 1 species